rnacentral:rRNA from 1 species
GGACGGGUGAGUAAUGCCUAGGAAAUUGCCCUGAUGUGGGGGAUAACCAUUGGAAACGAUGGCUAAUACCGCAUGAUGCCUACGGGCCAAAGAGGGGGACCUUCGGGCCUCUCGCGUCAGGAUAUGCCUAGGUGGGAUUAGCUAGUUGGUGAGGUAAGGGCUCACCAAGGCGACGAUCCCUAGCUGGUCUGAGAGGAUGAUCAGCCACACUGGAACUGAGACACGGUCCAGACUCCUACGGGAGGCAGCAGUGGGGAAUAUUGCACAAUGGGCGCAAGCCUGAUGCAGCCAUGCCGCGUGUGUGAAGAAGGCCUUCGGGUUGUAAAGCACUUUCAGUCGUGAGGAAGGUAGUGUAGUUAAUAGCUGCAUUAUUUGACGUUAGCGACAGAAGAAGCACCGGCUAACUCCGUGCCAGCAGCCGCGGUAAUACGGAGGGUGCGAGCGUUAAUCGGAAUUACUGGGCGUAAAGCGCAUGCAGGUGGUUUGUUAAGUCAGAUGUGAAAGCCCGGGGCUCAACCUCGGAAUUGCAUUUGAAACUGGCAGACUAGAGUACUGUAGAGGGGGGUAGAAUUUCAGGUGUAGCGGUGAAAUGCGUAGAGAUCUGAAGGAAUACCGGUGGCGAAGGCGGCCCCCUGGACAGAUACUGACACUCAGAUGCGAAAGCGUGGGGAGCAAACAGGAUUAGAUACCCUGGUAGUCCACGCCGUAAACGAUGUCUACUUGGAGGUUGUGGCCUUGAGCCGUGGCUUUCGGAGCUAACGCGUUAAGUAGACCGCCUGGGGAGUACGGUCGCAAGAUUAAAACUCAAAUGAAUUGACGGGGGCCCGCACAAGCGGUGGAGCAUGUGGUUUAAUUCGAUGCAACGCGAAGAACCUUACCUACUCUUGACAUCCAGAGAACUUUCCAGAGAUGGAUUGGUGCCUUCGGGAACUCUGAGACAGGUGCUGCAUGGCUGUCGUCAGCUCGUGUUGUGAAAUGUUGGGUUAAGUCCCGCAACGAGCGCAACCCUUAUCCUUGUUUGCCAGCGAGUAAUGUCGGGAACUCCAGGGAGACUGCCGGUGAUAAACCGGAGGAAGGUGGGGACGACGUCAAGUCAUCAUGGCCCUUACGAGUAGGGCUACACACGUGCUACAAUGGCGCAUACAGAGGGCGGCCAACUUGCGAAAGUGAGCGAAUCCCAAAAAGUGCGUCGUAGUCCGGAUUGGAGUCUGCAACUCGACUCCAUGAAGUCGGAAUCGCUAGUAAUCGUGGAUCAGAAUGCCACGGUGAAUACGUUCCCGGGCCUUGUACACACCGCCCGUCACACCAUGGGAGUGGGCUGCAAAAGAAGUAGGUAGUUUAACCUUCGGGGGGACGCUUACCACUUUGUGGUUCAUGACUGGGGUGAAGUCGUAACAAGGUAGCGCUAGGGGAACCUGG